CGUUCCCGGGCCUUGUACACACCGCCCGUCAAGUCACGAAAGUCGGUAACACCCGAAGCCGGUGGCCCAACCCUUGUGGAGGGAGCUGUCGAAGGUGGGACUGGCGAUUGGGACU
rnacentral:rRNA from 1 species